GGAGGAAAAGAAACCAACAGGGAUUGCCCUAGUAACGGCGAGUGAAGCGGCAACAGCUCAAAUUUGAAAGCUAGCCUUCGGGUUCGCAUUGUAAUUUGUAGAGGAUGAUUUGGGGAAGCCGCCUGUCUAAGUUCCUUGGAACAGGACGUCAUAGAGGGUGAGAAUCCCGUAUGUGACAGGAAAUGGCACCCUAUGUAAAUCUCCUUCGACGAGUCGAGUUGUUUGGGAAUGCAGCUCUAAAUGGGAGGUAAAUUUCUUCUAAAGCUAAAUAUUGGCGAGAGACCGAUAGCGCACAAGUAGAGUGAUCGAAAGAUGAAAAGCACUUUGGAAAGAGAGUUAAAAAGCACGUGAAAUUGUUGAAAGGGAAGCGCUUGCAAUCAGACUUGUUUAAACUGUUCGGCCGGUCUUCUGACCGGUUUACUCAGUUUGGACAGGCCAGCAUCAGUUUCGGCGGCCGGAUAAAGGCUCUGGGAAUGUGGCCUCCACUUCGGUGGAGGUGUUAUAGCCCAGGGUGUAAUACGGCCAGCCGGGACUGAGGUCCGCGCUCGGCUAGGAUGC
rnacentral:rRNA from 1 species